UGAAGAACAAGGGAAGUGAGAACUGAUGCCUUGUGUUGCGGUGAAAAUAUCCCGAAUCUUGGACGGAGAGACCUGAGUUCAAUUCGCAGCUGGUGCAGCAACAAAAGCCACGAAGCAGUGCGCAUGCUCCACCCAACAACGGUACCAGGAUAAUUGAUGUCAGCGGCGGACCAAUGGAAGGACAGGGGCGGGGCUGGAGGACCUGCGGGGCUGUUGGCCCUCCGACCAAUCAGUGAAUGAGAGGCGGGACCUGAUUAUACCACGUGAUCGUCCUCGCGGACAGCGCGGCUGUGCGGGUGGAGAGCUGUCGGAUAUUAAAUCAGAAUAAUUGAGGCUAGGAACUCAAAAGCAAGUUUUUACAGUCAAUGGAGUCAUCGGGAUCUGAAUAUCAUUUGCAUUUGACUGUGGACGGAGAAAGGAUGAGGCUGUCACUGGCUCGGCCAGCAUUUAUUGCUGCGUUUACCCAGUGGGCAGUUAAGAAUCAACCACGUUGCUAUAGUUCUGGAGUCCCAUGCAGACCAGACCAGAUCCCAGUGAUCAGUGCCAAAGCCCCAUUGCCUGUGGAGAGGGUGAUGUUUGAUUUCCCUGUCCAGCUGCAGUUCAUGUGGUGAAGGUGCUCCCACAAUGUGGUUGGGGUGCUCAAUGGUGAAGAUUCACAGACUGAAAUCUCAAACUCAUGUGCAGAUUGUGAUUAAGUUACCCAGCAUUUGAAGAACCAAAGAUGGAGAAUAACUCGGCCAAAAUCCAGCAACACUCUCCUUCCCAGCAUUGUCUGUCUCUCUGCGCCAAAUGGACUGUGAAUGGUUCAAGACAGCAGCUCACUACCAUCUUCUCAAGGGUAACUAGAGAUGGGGAAUAAAUGCUGGCUGAGCCAGUGAUGCCCAUAUCCUGGAAAUGGUUUCUAUCUCUAGUUGCUGAACCCCAGUUGAUGUUACUGCAGGAUGAUGAGGGAUGCUGAGUGCAUCCUCCAGGAGGCAACACCAUCACAUUACCCCUGCCUACACCCACACAGUAACA